rnacentral:rRNA from 1 species
AGAGUUUGAUCCUGGCUCAGGACGAACGCUGGCGGCGUGCCUAAUACAUGCAAGUCGAGCGGACAGAUGGGAGCUUGCUCCCUGAUGUUAGCGGCGGACGGGUGAGUAACACGUGGGUAACCUGCCUGUAAGACUGGGAUAACUCCGGGAAACCGGGGCUAAUACCGGAUGGUUGUUUGAACCGCAUGGUUCAAACAUAAAAGGUGGCUUCGGCUACCACUUACAGAUGGACCCGCGGCGCAUUAGCUAGUUGGUGAGGUAAUGGCUCACCAAGGCAACGAUGCGUAGCCGACCUGAGAGGGUGAUCGGCCACACUGGGACUGAGACACGGCCCAGACUCCUACGGGAGGCAGCAGUAGGGAAUCUUCCGCAAUGGACGAAAGUCUGACGGAGCAACGCCGCGUGAGUGAUGAAGGUUUUCGGAUCGUAAAGCUCUGUUGUUAGGGAAGAACAAGUACCGUUCGAAUAGGGCGGUACCUUGACGGUACCUAACCAGAAAGCCACGGCUAACUACGUGCCAGCAGCCGCGGUAAUACGUAGAUGGCAAGCGUUGUCCGGAAUUAUUGGGCGUAAAGGGCUCGCAGGCGGUUUCUUAAGUCUGAUGUGAAAGCCCCCGGCUCAACCGGGGAGGGUCAUUGGAAGCUGGGGAACUUG